ensembl:lncRNA
AGGUGAGGUUAUCUAUCUGGAGAUUCCUGCCUGCCUGAGGCCUUUUGAAGGAGAGGUGUUCUGUUGCUUGGAUCAUUUUUGUGGCCCACUUCUGGAAGCACUCCAACAGGUUUAUGUCUUUCCUGUGCUAAGGACUCUGCAUCUGGACAUAGUACUCUAGGUCAAGAUACGCAGGAUACAUUUCCUGUAAGCGUCUAUUGAAGUGCUCUUCCUUUCUAUACAAGCGACUAGGUAUUGUAGAUAAACUCAAGACCAGAUCUACUACGAUGAUAUACAGGCUACAGAAAGGCCUUCUGUGGAACUUAAACCAACUCUAAAUCACAGAAUGGCUGAGAUUGGAAGGAACCUGUGGAGGUAAUCUGGUCCAACCACCCCAGUCAAACCUAGAGCAAGCUGCAGAGGACCAUGUCCAGAUGACAUCUUAAUAUCUCCAAGGAUGGAGACUCUACAACCUCUCUUAGCAACCUGUGCCAGGGCUCAGACAUCUUCACAGUUAAAAAAAAUAAAAAAAAAAUCUCCCAUGUUUCAGCUUCUGCCUAUUGCCUCUUGUCCUAUCCCUGAGUAUUACUGAAAAAAGAGCCUGGUUCAAUCCUCUUUGUUCCCCUUUUUCAGAUGUAAGAUCCUCUCAAGCCUUCUUUCCUCUAGGCUGGAUUGUCCCAGCUCUCUCAGCUGCUCCUCAUAGGAAUCAAACAAUCAUUAAGGUUUGAAAAGAUCUUUAAGAUUAAGCCCAACAUCAACCUAUUGCUAUUAUGCCCACCAAAUCAUGUCCCUAAGUACUGUAUCUACAUAUUUCUUGAAAAUCUCUGGGGCGGUGACUCCCCUACUUCCCUGGGCAGCCAAUGCUUGACUACCCUUUCAGAUGAUAAAUUUUCCUCAAAUCCAACUUGAACCUCCCCUAGCACAACUAGAUGCCAUUACCUACUAUCCUAUCGGUAGUAACCUGUGGGAAGAGACCAGCUCCCACCUUAAUACAAUCUCCUAUCAGGUAGCUGCAGAGAGCCAUGAGGUCUCCCUUAAGCCUCCUCCAGAAUAAAUCACAGUACCCACAGCUGUUGCUCUUCAUAAAGUUUGUGCUUCAGGUGAAUUUAAUCCCAUUCACCACCAGUCUCUAAGCCUGGUCAUCUGGUGAGUUUUUUUACCCAGCAAAGAGUACACCCCUCUAAGCCAUGAGCUACCACUUUCUCCAAGAAAACGCCAUGGGAGAUGGUGUCAAAGGCCUUAUUGAUGUCUAAGCAGACUACAUCCAUAGUCUUUCCCUCAUCCACUAGGCAGGUCACCUGAUUACAGAAGGAGAUCAUGUUGGUCAAGCAGGAUCCUGCCUUUCAUGAACCUAUGCUGGCUCGGCCUGAUCCCCUGAUUGUUCUGUACAUAGAACAUGAUCACUCCCAAGACUAUUUGCUCCACAGCCUUCCUUGAUAUUGAGGUCAGGCUGACAGUCUCCCAGAUCUUCCUUCUGACCAUUUUUGUAGAUAGGCAUCACACUGGCAAGUCUGUAGUCAUCUGGAACCUUCUUGGUUGGCAUAGACUGCUAAUAAAUGACAGAAAACGCCUUAGUAAGCACUUCUGUCAGCUCCCUCAGUACACUUGGGUGGAUCCCAUCUGGACCCUUAGAUUUGUAAUAGUCUUGGUAGAGAAAUAGGUUGCUGUUUCUUCCUGAACUGUGGGGGACUUAUUCUGCUCCCAAUAAUGGUAUUCCAGUCAAGCACACAGAAUGAGAAAUUCCUGUCAGCCUAUGCCUCACAGAAAAGGCAUGAGCAUUGUAUACUAGAGCUUAUCAUUCUCAAAAGUAAUCCUAAUAAAACACAUAUAUAAUAAAAAAAAACCCUCUAAUGUGGGGCUGAUGCACAGAUUUUGUAUAUAAAGAGCACCUUCAAUUAAGGGUUAGAUUUCUAACCUCUCCACCUUUCCUUCUACCCACCUCCUCCAUGCUCCUCUGGAAGUUUUUGUAAUGUAGUCACGGUGAU